UACAUAGGGUGCAAGCGUUGUCCGGAAUUAUUGGGCGUAAAGAGCUCGUAGGUCGUUUGCCACGUCGAUUGUGAAAAUCUGAGGCUCAACCUCAGACCUGCAGUCGAUACGGGCAAACUAGAGUGUGGUAGGGGAGACUGGAAUUCCUGGUGUAGCGGUGGAAUGCGCAGAUAUCAGGAGGAACACCAAUGGCGAAGGCAGGUCUCUGGGCCAUAACUGACACUGAGGAGCGAAAGCGCGGGGAGCGAACAGGAUUAGAUACCCUGGUAGUCCGCGCCGUAAACGAUGGGCACUAGCUGUGAGAACCUUCCACGGUUUUCGCGACGCAGCAAACGCAUUAAGUGCCCCGCCUGGGGAGUACGAUCGCAAGAUUAAAACUCAAAGGAAUUGACGGGGCCCCGCACAAGCAGCGGAGCAUGCGGCUUAAUUCGACGCAACGCGAAGAACCUUACCAAGGCUUGACAUAUAGCGAAAAGUGGCAGAGAUGUCAUGUCCGCAAGGGCGCUAUACAGGUGGUGCAUGGUUGUCGUCAGCUCGUGUCGUGAGAUGUUGGGUUAAGUCCCGCAACGAGCGCAACCCUCGUUCUGUGUUACCAGCAUUAAGUUGGGGACUCACAGGAGACUGCCGGGGUCAACUCGGAGGAAGGUGGGGAUGACGUCAAAUCAUCAUGCCCCUUAUGUCUUGGGCUGCACGCAUGCUACAAUGGCCGGUACAAAGUGCUGCGAAAUCGUAAGAUUUAGCGAAUCACAUAAAGCCGGUCUCAGUUCGGAUUGAGGUCUGCAACUCGACCUCAUGAAGUCGGAGUUGCUAGUAAUCGUAGAUCAGCAACGCUACGGUGAAUACGUUCCCGGGGCU
rnacentral:rRNA from 1 species